rnacentral:rRNA from 1 species
UACGUAGGGGGCAAGCGUUGUCCGGAUUUAUUGGGCGUAAAGAGCGUGUAGGCGGUUAGGUAGGUCCGUUGUGAAAACUCGAGGCUCAACCUCGAGACGCCGAUGGAAACCAUCUGACUAGAGUCCGGAAGAGGAGAGUGGAAUUCCCGGUGUAGCGGUGAAAUGCGCAGAUAUCGGGAGGAACACCGGUGGCGAAGGCGGGUCUCUGGGCCGAUACUGACGCUGAGGAGCGAAAGCGUGGGGAGCGAACAGG